rnacentral:rRNA from 1 species
CGGAGCCUACGGGGGGCAGCAGUAGGGAAUCUUCCACAAUGGACGAAAGUCUGAUGGAGCAACGCCGCGUGAGUGAAGAAGGGUUUCGGCUCGUAAACCUCUGUUGGUAGUGAAGAAAGAUAGAGGUAGUAACUGGCCUUUAUUUGACGGUAAUUACUUAGAAAGUCACGGCUAACUACGUGCCAGCAGCCGCGGUAAUACGUAGGUGGCAAGCGUUGUCCGGGUUUGUUGGGCGUAAA